rfam:Drosophila virilis strain TSC#15010-1051.87 Ctg01_13090, whole genome shotgun sequence.
CAACCUCAACUCAUAUGGGACUACCCCCUGAAUUUAAGCAUAUUAAUUAGGGGAGGAAAAGAAACUAACAAGGAUUUUCUUAGUAGCGGCGAGCGAAAAGAAAUCAGUUCAGCACUAAGUCACUUUGUCUAUAUGGCAAAUGUGAGAUGCA